GAUGAACGCUGGCGGCGUGCCUAAUACAUGCAAGUCGAGCGAACGGACGAGGAGCUUGCUCCUCUGACGUUAGCGGCGGACGGGUGAGUAACACGUGGAUAACCUACCUAUAAGACUGGGAUAACUUCGGGAAACCGGAGCUAAUACCGGAUAAUAUAUUGAACCGCAUGGUUCAAUAGUCAAAGACGGUCUUGCUGUCACUUAUAGAUGGAUCCGCGCCGCAUUAGCUAGUUGGUAAGGUAACGGCUUACCAAGGCAACGAUGCAUAGCCGACCUGAGAGGGUGAUCAGCCACACUGGCACUGAGACACGGUCCACACUCCUACGGGAGGCAGCAGUAGGGACUCUUCCGCAAUGGGCGACAGCCUGACGGAGCAACGCCGCGUGAGUGAUGAAGGUCUUCGGAUCGUAAAACUCUGUUAUUAGGGAAGAACAAAUGUGUAAGUAACUGUGCACGUCUUGACGGUACCUAAUCAGAAAGCCACGGCUAACUACGUG
rnacentral:rRNA from 1 species